UACCCGCAGCACAAGUGGUGGUCAUUAUUAUUGGGCCUAAAGCGUCCGUAGCUGGCUUGUUAGAUGCCUGGGUAAAUCGAUGCGCUCAACGCAUCGAACCCCGGGUAGACCGGCAAGCUUGGGACCGGGAGAGGCGUGAGCUACUCGAGGGGUAGGGGUAAAAUCCUGUAAUCCUUCGGGGAGGACCAGUGGCGAAGGCGUCACGCUAGAACGGCUCCGACAGUGAGGGACGAAGCCCUGGGGCGCAAACCGG
rnacentral:rRNA from 1 species